GUCCAUGCCGUAAACGUUGGGAACUAGAUGUAGGGCCUGUUCCACGGGUUCUGUGUCGUAGCUAACGCAUUAAGUUCCCCGCCUGGGGAGUACGGCCGCAAGGCUAAAACUCAAAGGAAUUGACGGGGCCCGCACAAGCGGCGGAGCAUGCGGAUUAAUUCGAUGCAACGCGAAGAACCUUACCAAGGCUUGACAUAUACGAGAACGGGCGAGAGAUCGUCAACUCUUUGGACACUCGUAAACAGGUGGUGCAUGGUUGUCGU
rnacentral:rRNA from 1 species